rnacentral:misc_RNA from 1 species
UGAAGAACGUAGCGAAAUGCGAUAAGUAGUGUGAAUUGCAGAAUUCCGUGAAUCAUCGAAUCUUUGAACGCACAUUGCGCCUUCUGGUAUUCCGGAAGGCAUGCCUGUUCGAGAGUCAUUAACAACCGUUUCGAUCCCUUUCUUUCAGAAAUUACAAAGAGGAAAAGGGUUUGGUUAUGGUGGAGGAGGGAAAGGGAGCGUUUAGCCUGUAAAAAAAGAGGCUGUGUUCCGCCUCCCCCCCAAAAUUGUACAGGCGGUCGUGUGCGCCCACGCAUCGAGGUGUUGUAAAAGCUGCCACGGCACUUUUCACCUGUGCAGUGCGAGAUUGGCCAGCCGGUUUAAAAACCCCUCCAAACAAUCAAAGGUUGACCUCGGAUCAGGUAGGGAUACCCGCUGAACUUAAGCAUAUCAAUAAGCGGAGGA